GCAGCCGCGAAGGGCGCAUGGGCGCUUCCGGGGCGCCAAAACGGCGCCGCGUUGAGUAGUGCUCAAAGCCGGAGUUAGCAGCACCUGCUGCUGCUCUCGGCUGUGAGGUCGUGUAGGCGCAGCAGCCCUGAGUCACAACUGCUUGGUGCACACUCGCUUUGAAGAAACCUUUGCCCACUUGCAUGGAGCUGCCAAAGGAGCUCUGUCAGCUGGCAGACAGCCAGAAGCUUCAAAGGGAGAAAGCAAUAAAAGACUACAGAAUGAAUAAGGAUGGUCUUCUGAUCAGACUAGCCAUGGAAUUAAGAGAGAAUCCAUGCAUGGAAGGAUAGAGACUACAGAGAUGACAGGGACUGCUUUCCUACAAAUGAAGUGGUGACUCAAAUGCCAUCCCUCAACACUCAGGAGGUGCUUUGUCAAGAAAAGCUUGCAAGUCAAAAUCAAGUGGUAAAUCUGCUAGAGAAACUUAAGCAGACCUCAAGGUGAACAUACAAGUCUAAUUUCUGAUACAGGUGAGUUGAUGAGUUUAGACAUGAAGACAUCCACGCAAAGGGCCUGUUCCCACUGCAGUGUCCAACAAAUGCUCCUUCAUUUACAGUGACAGGUAAAUCCAUUGUUGAAGGGAAAUAAUAUGAUCUUUCCUUCAAAGAAAACUCCUCCUGUGUCUAUUUUUUGAGAUCUGUUUUUCAGAAGAGAUAUUUCUGAUUUUUUAAAAGUGCCUUUUGUUUUUCUGGCUUUAUUAUCAGACCAAUGUUUGUGUUGGUGCUUUGGUUACCUGUUGCAGGUAUGUAAAACUCUAGCUUGAUCCAAAUAUGUAAACAGGGAGCCUUUCGACUGACAUUAGAAAGAGUUUGUUUGAAAAAUGAGAAAAACCUUCUGACCACCCCAUGUGGGCUUGGUAAAUCUCUUUAGUAUAGCUGUGCAACAGUCUUUCACAGAACAGCAAACAAACUCACAUCCUAAUGGACCCUUGUGCUGGAGAAAACAGCAAAGCUGUGUACUGAGAAAAAGGACUUCUCUGUCAAGUCAGUUAUUUUAGACUAAGAAGAGAAGCUUCCAGCUGAGAGCUGCACACCACUGCUGGUGAUCUGCACUGCUCUAUCAAACUGGUGUAGACAGGGUUGUAACUCUAAUGUGGUGUGUAUAUAAAGACUUGUGUGUAAAGGUGUGGGGGGAAACAUUUAAAUUAGUUUAAUAGAUACACUUACCCCAAGCAAAAUAAGAUAUCAUGGUAAAACCUUUGUUCCAAAUACACUUGCUUUGACUGGUAUUCACUAAAAGUAAAGCUCCUCCCCUGACAGCACUGUUCUACCACCUGACAAAACUUAUGUAGGCCAUGCCUGAAUCUUUGCACUUUUUUUGACAUACCACUGUAUUUCACUUGCAAGCACAGGACUGUUGCAAACUGUUUGCAUUUAAAUUCUGCAUUUAUGCUCAUUUCUGAAUUUAAAUACAUUAAAAAUACUGCAUGUGGUGACAUUCAAAUGGUUUAGACAGAGUGGGGAACACUUUUGCUCUCAGGAUUGUGGCUAUAUUGCUAAGCACUGAUGAACAACAUGAGAAAGGGGAGCAAAUGGAAGAGGCAGUGGUCACUGCUCCAACCGGGAUGCAGUCCAGGGACAAUAUGGGCUUCAGGUUGCAAGAAACAUGACAUCUAUCUGCUGAUACCUGGUUGUCUUUGGGUGUAAAUGGGUGUGACUGGAUUACUAUGAUGUAUCCUUGUACAUUUCUUUUAAAUGCCUUGGUGUUUGCUUUUUUUGUUGUUCUUGCUUUGUUUUGUUGUUCUCCCCACUGGACUAGCAGUACUUACAUGGGUUUCUUUGUUGAAACUGUAGGUAAGACUUGCUCACUUCUGUGAGUGGCAGAAAAACUUCCAAGCUUUGCUCUUUGUCAGUACAGCUUCUGCACUUUAAAAGAAACCCUUAAUGGAAUUCUGUAAUCAAACUGUACAGACUCUCUCAGUUAACUUUAGAAAAAUAAAACAGGUUUGAAACUA